CCUACGGGGGGCAGCAGUGGGGAAUAUUGGACAAUGGGCGAAAGCCUGAUCCAGCCAUGCCGCGUGUGUGAAGAAGGCCUUCGGGUUGUAAAGCACUUUCAGUGGGGAAGAAAGCCUUGGGGCUAAUACCCUCGAGGAAGGACAUCACCCACAGAAGAAGCACCGGCUAACUCCGUGCCAGCAGCCGCGGUAAUACGGAGGGUGCGAGCGUUAAUCGGAAUUACUGGGCGUAAAGCGCGCGUAGGCGGUCUGAUAAGCCAGUUGUGAAAGCCCCGGGCUCAACCUGGGAACGGCAUCCGGAACUGUCAGGCUAGAGUGCAGGAGAGGAAGGUAGAAUUCCCGGUGUAGCGGUGAAAUGCGUAGAGAUCGGGAGGAAUACCAGUGGCGAAGGCGGUCUUCUGGACUGACACUGACGCUGAGGUGCGAAAGCGUGGGUAGCAAACAGGAUUAGAUACCCUUGUAGUC
rnacentral:rRNA from 1 species